GUCUUUUUGAUCAUAAUUUAAAGUCUAACCUGCCCAAUGAGGAGUUAAAUGGCCGCGGUAAUUUGACCGUGCAAAGGUAGCAUAAUCAUUAGUUUUUUAAUUGAAAGCUGGUAUGAACGGUUGGACGAGAGAAUAACUGUCUCAAUUUAAAUUUAAUUAGAAUUUUAUUUAUAAGUAAGAAAGCUUAUAUAAUUUUAAAAGACGAGAAGACCCUAUAGAAUUUUAUAUUUUUUAAGCUUAGAGAUUUAUAGGAUAGAGUGUUUUUGAUAUUAAAAAAUAUUUUGUUGGGGCGACAGAAAAAUUAAGUUAACUUUUUUUAUAUUAAACCAUUAAUUUAUGAGUAAAUGAUCCAUAUUUUAUGAUUAUAAGAUUAAAUUACCUUAGGGAUAACAGCGUAAUUUUUCUUUAGAGUUCUUAUCGAAAGAAGGGUUUGCGACCUCGAUGUUGGAUUAAAAUUAACUUUUGGUGUAGGGGCUAAAUGGUUGGGUCUGUUCGACCUUUAAAAUUUUACA
rnacentral:rRNA from 1 species